AGGGUGGUUUGGAGGGAGGAGACUCAGAGGGAAGACAGGGAGAGGGAAAUGACAUCACUCGGAGAAGACAACCUGCUGGAGGGCACAUAAAGAGUCCUAAUGACUUGAGUGAUUUGGAUUUGCUCCAGGAAGGAGGAAAAAAUCGACAAGGAAUGUAUACUGGGGAAGAGAGGGCAGAGUAGCAGGAGUGAGGGGCUGUAGAAGAGAAGAGGUGGAUUGAGAAGGAGCUUCUGUGGCAUCAAGGGGAAUCGGCGUGAUAGUGGAGAAGCUGACAUGAUGAAGCCAGUGAUUUGGCCUCCAAGUACACAUGCGUCAGAGAAAUUUUGGGUUAACUAGAAACCUAAUUAGAAGAAUUCAGUUCAAGCAAUCUAGGAAUUAAUAUCAGAAAAAGCAACAGGUACAACAGGACUUCAUCAAGCUGCCAAUAUUUCAUAAUAGCCAAAGUAUGGAAUUUGCCUGGGUACUCAUCAAUGGAUAAAUGGAUGAAGAAAAUGUAAUAUAUAAACACAACUCAGUCACAAAGAAAAACAAAAUCAUGUCAUUUGCAGAAAACUGGAGAUCAUCAUGUUAAGUGAGAUAAACCAGACUUAGAAAGAUGUCCCCUCCAAAUCCUCAUGUAAUCAUAGAUGGAGCAUUCCAGAGGUGGUUGGACCAAGAGUGUGUGAUAUUUGAAUGAAACACAAGAUGCUGCGAUUAAGGAUGCCACUGGUGGAAGUAAAUUGUGAUUUACUCUAAGUGAAUUAAAAUAUGUUUGUGGCUGAAGUUUAAGAGAAAUGAAGAUUACCCUGAGAUGAAGACAGUGAAUGAUCAGUGAUUACAAAUCACCGAGUAUUGUUUGCUGGAGCCCAGGAGUGGCUCACAGGCAAGACUGAUGCGUUACAGCUGUGGAAAGAAUGGCACAAGGAGUUGGAUAGGAUUCAGGAUGCAGGUAUUGAGGACCCUUGACAAAAGUGUGAUUUCUUGGAGGUAAAACACCACGUCUCUGCAUUGUACAGUCCACUGUAAUUAUAAAGAAUAAGCUGGCCCUUGUGCUGGAAGUUAAUGGAGAGCUAUACAGAGAGCUCUUCUGAUAAGGAAACCAGAGUCCAGGGCAGGGCUGUGAACUCUGAACUCAAUGACAUCUAUUGGCAGAUGUAAGCUAGUUUGUCAUUAUAGAAUUCUAUAUGCUCUUUUUGAACAUUAUAGCCUGUUCUCUGUAGUGCUGUUAAGAAUUGGGAAGGAAGCUCAUGUUUGAUCUGAAGACCAACUGAGGGUGAUAGUAGUGAUUGCUAGCAGGAGAAAUCAGUUUCCAAGUGAGUGAGGGUACAGUAUCACUAACUGGGAGCAGGGACAACUACGGGGGAAAGGGGAAGUGGGGCAAGGGAACCGCACCGUGAACUCUUAUGGGGCAUGCAUGAUAGGGUAUUCAAGAACUUAGAAAGAGGCAGAAAAGAUAUUUUAUGAUGGGUUCAAGCACAUGGGCUCUUGAUCACAGUAAUUAAUGGUAGCUUCUUCUAUAAUCAUAGGCCUGAGGAAAGGCAGAAUAGUUUGAACGCACUUUAGAUUUUCUAUUUCAGUUUUACAUAGAUUCAGAGAAGUGAUAAUUACCAUACCAACUCUACAGAUAAGGAAAUUGUCAUUCAUGAAAGGAGAAUUGGCAAAAUCUUGCAUAGCUUUGAAGUGGUGGAUUAAGAUCUAAAUCACCUUUUGCUUAACCUCAAUGCUAGGGGAUCUUACCAAUUCAGAAAGCACCUAUAUUUCUCAUUAAUAUUCAUUUUGUAACUGCCACUUGAGAGUAUUUCAGACAACAUGCUAAUUCAAAAUAUAUUAACACAGAGGUUCUCAAAAUUCACUGUACAGGGUCAGGGAUUGACUCAGUGGCACAAUCACCUGCCUGGCAAAUGCAAGGUCAUGAGUUCGAUCCCUGGUACGUCACCCCUCCAAAAAAUUCACUGUACUUUGAUUCUCUUGGAAGCUAUAAAACUAUUGAUGCCUAGAUCUCAUCCCAAAGAUUUUAAUUGGUAUGCUGCAUAGCCUGGACACUGGAAUUUAGGAAGUUUCUCAGGUGGUGUAGAAUGCAGCACAUUUUGAGAAUCAUUGCAUUAAUAUGUUGGUGAAGAGAAGAAUAAAAACAAUUUCACUGUACAUACACUUUCUUAUUGAGGGCUAUGGACAGUCAUCCUGGAAAGGUUGUCUAAACUGAGUGAAAUUAUUGAAAUAGUUUUAUAAUCACAUAAUUGCAAAGCGAGUUAAACAAAUGAUACUUAAGGUACUUAAAACAUGGUUAAGUACUGUAUUGCAUAAACUGUCUUCUGAGUCAACUAAUCAGUAAUGACAGCUGUCUAUUUUUGUGGUGUGGGGGUUGAAUUGAAAGCAGGACCUUCACAUUGAGCUACAUUCUUAGCCCUUUUAUUAUUAUUUUUAAAUUUUGAGAUACAGUUUCACUAAAUUGCCAGUUGCCCAGCCUGAACUUGAACUUGUUACCCUCCUAACCUUAGGAUACCAUAGUUCUUGGAUUACCAUCCUGUACCACCAUACUUCAGUGUGGUAGAGUCUUUACUAUGUGUGGUUUAACAACCAAAUAAAAAUGAGCCCAGUUAGAAAACUGAGAGUAAUCACUAAGACUUUAGAUGGUGGGACAGGUUGCCAAGGUUCACAUCUGAUUUCUUCCACUCAUAGCUGUGUAAACUAGGGCAAUAUUUUGUACCUACUAUGCUCCAAUUUUCUCAUUGGUAAAAUAGAGAUAGUAAUAGUAUCCAUCUUGUGAAAUUAUUGUGAGAAAAGAGUAAGGGUUUAAAAAUAAGCAAAGGACAUAUCAAGCACCAUAUAGAGGCUUAUUUUAACUAAUUUACAUGUGAAAUAUUUUGUCACCUUUAUUCCAUAAGGAUUUAAAAUUUUCCUGUUUCAUGCUUACUAGUCAUUUUAUUCUUUGUUCCUAUGUAUGCAGUCAUUUUCACAAAAAAUCUUACUAAGUGCGUUCAUAUUUAGUAAGGUUAUUCUCUAUUUCAUCCAUUUUAAAACACUGAGAAAUUUGACAAUAAUGAAGAGGAACAGAUAAGCCUCUGAAAAGUUUUUUACUGAACUGACUUAAAAUCUUUUUAAGUAUAUUAUGUUUUACGGAAUUUCUCCUACUGAUGAAAUCCCCAAAUAUUUGAUGCAUUAAUUAAAAAUAACAACAAAAACAACACAAAAUAGUAGCAAUAUAGGAUUUUAAAACAAGAUGAAAGGAAUUUAACAAUGGUUGUUAGACUGCAUAUCGUUAUCCUCAAAGUAAUUGCUCAGGCUACCAGAUAUAGGCAUGCAAGAUUGAUCAAACAACAUAAUUUCCCUUUGAGCAGUUUCUUUUCCUUUUACUGUUUCUAUUGUAACUUUUGAAUCUUAUUUACUCUUUCAGUUUUUAUAGUUGCAAAUUUGAUUCAUUUCACUAGUGAGUAUGGUUUCUAAUUGCACCCAUUUACCUAUAGCCUUGAGUUUAUUGUUUUUUUGUGACUGAGUAGUAUUCCAUUAUAUAAAAAUAAACAUCUUUUUUAUCGUU